rnacentral:rRNA from 1 species
UACAGAGGUGCCGAGCGUUAGGCGGAAUCACUGGGCUUAAAGCGUGUGUAGGCGGACUCCUAAGUACCUUGUGAAAUCCCACGGCUCACCCGUGGAACGGCUGGGUAUACUGGGCGUCUUGAGCCUUCUAGGGGCCAGCGGAACAAAUGGUGGAGCGGUGAAAUGCGUAGAUAUCCGGAGGAACACCGAAGGCGAAGGCAGUGUCCUGGCGCGUAACUGACGCUGAGGUGCGAAAGCCAGGGGAGCGAACGGG